CUCUUCAUUACAAACAACCUGGUCCGCGAAACACCAAAUAAAAACCCACAUUGAAUAAAUAAUUCUAACCACAGCGGUGCCACACUCUCUACAAAGAAGACUUCGUAGACUUUGAUUCAUCUCCAUAAUCAAAGAUCCAAACUUUUUGAGUUUUCAAAACCCAUCUCAGCUUAAUCUUGUACCCCCAAUUUUCUGCAUUUCAUUUCUUUCACGAAGCAGUGUUUUUUCUUCUUUUUUAAUUGUUAAAAUGUUUGAGUAAUCUUUACUCCAUGCUAUAGAAAAAUAAGGAUUUUGUGUAAUUCAAAAAAAAAAAAAAAAUUGUGUCGUGGGUGUGACGGAAAAAUGGCGGGUCGUAGGGAGAAGUAUGGGCAAUCAAUAAGAGGAUCUCGAAUUGCUGCAGCAAUUGCGAUCGGUGUUCUUUUGGGCUGUGUCUUUGCUUUCUUGUAUCCUAAUGGAUUCUUCUCUCCCGAUCCACCUCACCCUCUUUCUAAAUCCAAUCUUCAGGUUGGCUCAUCCAAUUGUGAAUCCACGGAGCGGAUUAAUAUGUUGAAUUCCGAGAAUAGGAAGUUGACUGAGAAAAAUGCAGAGUUGCAAAGGCAGGUGAGGGAACUAAAUCAAAAGCUUCAGGUGGCUGCACAGGGAAACGGUCGUGCUCAGGAGCAACUUGUGGUGUCGAGUCAACCUCAGAAAGCUGGGCCUUUUGGAACUGUCAAAAGUUUGAGAACUAACCCUCCUGUUGUGCCCGAUGAAUUGGUAAACCCAAGAUUAGCAAAGAUGUUGGCAGAGAUUGCAGUUAGCAAAGAGGUCAUAGUUGCACUUGCCAAUUCAAAUGUUAGAUCCAUGCUGGAGGUUUGGUUCAACAGUAUUAAAAAAGUGGGUAUUCCCAAUUAUCUGGUUGUGGCAUUGGAUGACGCUAUAGUGGAUUUCUGCAAGGAAAAUGAUGUCCCAGUUUAUAAAAGAGACCCUGAUGAUAAUGUCGAUUUUAUUGGAAAAAAUGGAGGCAACCAUGCUGUCUCAGGAUUGAAGUUUCGAAUUUUGAGGGAGUUUUUGCAGCUUGGUUACAGUGUCCUUCUUUCUGACGUCGAUAUUGUGUAUCUGCAAAAUCCUUUUGAUCAUUUAUAUCGGGAUUCAGAUGUCGAAUCAAUGUCUGACGGUCACAAUAAUAUGACAGCUUAUGGUUACAAUGACGUUUUCGAUGAACCUUCAAUGGGUUGGGCUCGAUAUGCACAUACAAUGAGGCUUUGGGUUUAUAAUUCUGGCUUCUUUUAUAUCCGACCAACGAUUCCUUCAAUCGAGCUCUUAGAUCGGGUUGCUGAUCGGCUUACUAAGCAGCCAAAUUCCUGGGACCAGGCAGUUUUCAAUGAAGAGCUCGCCUUUCCAUCACAUCCCGGGUAUGUUGGCCUUUAUGCUUCCAGGAGAACAAUGGAUAUCUAUCUGUUCAUGAAUAGCAAGGUCCUGUUCAAGACUGUAAGAAAAGAUGCUAAUCUGAAGAAGUUGAAACCGGUUAUAGUUCAUGUAAACUAUCACCCGGACAAGUUUCCUAGAAUGAAAGCAGUUGUUGAGUACUAUGUCAACGGCAAGCAGGAUGCGCUGGAUGCAUUCCCAGAUGGUUCAGAAUAAUAGCAGCAGCUGCUGAAAUUGGACCAUACAUUGAGAGCUAGGCCAGCUAUAUUCUCUGUCGUACUAUUUUGUCUUUACAUACAGGACCUUGUCAUCACCAGUAUCAGCAUCGUCAUCAUUUUCUUCCUGAGGGAGCUUAAAAAACCCGUAGAGGCGAGAGCCAUCUUGAACCCCGUAUUCACUAAGGGAUUUUUGAUCUUCAUUCAUCAUGAUAUGAUCACCAUCCUUGUCGAGCAAAAGGAUGAGGCGAUCACCGGGAAGGUUUUCUUGAUUCUGUAUUGCUAUCUUCAAAUCUAGCACUGUUGCAUUGUCGCCUACUUGGACAUGAAAGAUUGUUCCUGUCAUAAUCUCGACCACCACCUGCAUUUUUGUUUUGUUUUUGUUGAGUGCUUGUUCUGUGAUGAGAGAUCCAUGAAUUAUAAAGAAUGUUUUCACAGGAA